AUUGAACGCUGGCGGCAUGCCUUACACAUGCAAGUCGAACGGUAACAGGUCUUCGGAUGCUGACGAGUGGCGAACGGGUGAGUAAUACAUCGGAACGUGCCUAGUAGUGGGGGAUAACUACUCGAAAGAGUGGCUAAUACCGCAUGAGAUCUACGGAUGAAAGCAGGGGAUCGCAAGACCUUGUGCUACUAGAGCGGCCGAUGGCAGAUUAGGUAGUUGGUGGGAUAAAAGCUUACCAAGCCGACGAUCUGUAGCUGGUCUGAGAGGACGAUCAGCCAGACUGGGACUGAGACACGGCCCAGACUCCUAAGGGAGGCAGCAGUGGGGAAUUUUGGACAAUGGGCGAAAGCCUGAUCCAGCAAUGCCGCGUGCAGGAUGAAGGCCUUCGGGUUGUAAACUGCUUUUGUACGGAACGAAAAGCCCCGGGUUAAUACCCUGGGGUCAUGACGGUACCGUAAGAAUAAGCACCGGCUAACUACGUGCCAGCCGCCGCAGUAA
rnacentral:rRNA from 1 species